rnacentral:lncRNA from 1 species
AGCAGCUGUUCAGGGGAAAAGCCCUUCUGUGGGAUUGUUCCCCUGCCCCAUUCCAAAUGCUCGAAUCUUUAAAGUGAAGAGAGGAUUUGGGGGGGUGUCCUCAGCAUCUGCUUACAGUUCACACAAGGAACAGGCAGGGCCAACAAGUUUAGGUUUGAACUUCAAUCCAAAGCAUAAUAAUAAGCAAGCUGCUGUCACAGAAAGCUUAACUAGGGGAGGCUAAACAUUUCCUAGGAGAAAUUCCCAGAGAACUAUUUGUACCUCUUCUAUGGGAGGAACCUCCAACUCUUGGGGCACUGUUCCUUUUCUCUACAGCAAUGCUAAUGAAGAACUGACUGGGAGAAGUCACCUCAUUUGGCUUUAGGGAAGGCAACGGGCAGCAGCUUUCACAGUAGGAUCAAAGAGAAGCAAAGGUUUUUGCAGGUUAUUUAUUGAUUUCUCCAACAAAUAAGGCCACACGCGCACACACACACACACACACCUUGUAGUAUCUAUCAUGACACGAGCUUGGUGAGUGACUCACAUUUCAUCUUUAACAGCAUGACUGCUAAAAUGUGAGCUGGAAACCCUGAUAGAUGCGUAGGAGCUGGUAAGUAGAGAGGGAGAGCCUUCAGCCCAGAUUUGGUACUAGAAGCAUGUUCUGCAUUGGAACAGCUGAGGAGAGCAGUUGUUCAGGGAGGAGGAGCUGGUCUGGAGCAGGGAGUGGAGUAUCAGGAUGCCAGGGUCAGGAUGCCAGCUUGUGCACUGCUACGGUGAUGCUGUCAUGCUUCUGGAUCAUGAUGUUCCCGCUGUCCGACUCCAGGCACACCACGGGCGUGUCGGUUGGGUCGGAGGUGAGCUUGGCUGCCUGCUGGGCGAGCACAGAGAUGACUCCAGCAUGUUCAUCUGAGAGCGUUCCUCGGCAUCCCAGGUUGAGGCCCUGCGAGUCGGUGCAGAGGACGCCCACCACGGCCGGGCUCUUCAUGGUGUCCUCCAGGUGCUGCUCCAGGGUCCCCUCCAUGCCGCCGGGCCCCGCGCCCCCACUUCCGCCCUU